UCGGAGCUUAGUGCGUCAGGGCGGGCUUCUGCAGAGUACCGUGUGCGUCUGUUCCUCUUCCCUGCUCAAACAUCUCUGCCCUCUAUUUAGAAGGGGGGGCGUUCCCAUUUUUAGGGGGCAAGAAGAUGCUAGAGGAUGGCGCCAGUUUAGGUGCCACUAAAGAUCAAGAGAAAUUCAUAGGAAAAUGGAAGAGCAAAAGUUCUGAUGUUUUGCUUUUGAUUUCGCCAAGCUAAGUCAACUCCAGGAGUCCUUUCAAAAAGUCAAACAUGGAUUGGUGGGGCCUCUGCUGCAUGCGUUCAUUUAAGGAAGGAGGCUCCUCUGUCUAGUACUCCACCACCUUCAAGGCAGGUAAGAGUCUUUAAAUCCUAGUCUUCCCCUUUAGGAGGCUUCAGGACCAAACUUUUUAUUUAUUCCUUGCCUGUGGCUUGUUCUUA
rnacentral:lncRNA from 1 species